rnacentral:misc_RNA from 1 species
GCGCCAGCCAGUCUCAGGCAGACCGUAUGGGCGAUCGGACGAAUGGCGCCGAUGACGGGGACGGGCCCGCCUCACUCGAGUACGAGGAGGACUGUUACUACGCGUUUGUCGCGACUCCGAGCUUCGACGCCGUGGCGGAAGGUGAAGAGGACGAGUGUGUGUUCGUAGUGGUCGAGGAGGAGUUCGACGAGCCCGUCAGCCUCGGUUUGGACUCCGGUCAGGACGGCCUGGUAGAGGCCGAGUGGUUCGACAGACGCGCGGGCCGCAACAAGUGGAUACGUGGUGUGAAGGUUAGGUUCGAGGACCUCAGCAAGCCCUAUCUGGCGCGCAUCACUGGGCAUAAGGGCUACUCCAGGUUCCUACAACUCAUAAGAGGAGCAGAAGAGCCCCCGACCGAUGUGUCUCCAGAUUCUGGCAUCAACGAGCUGGCAGGGCUCAGCCCUGAGGAGCAGGAGAGACAGAAGCAGGAGUGGACAGCAGAGCUUGCCAAGGUAGAGGAAGAGAUCCAGACCCUCAGACACGUGUUGGCCUCCAAGGUGAAGGCCUCUCAGGAGCUAAAACGCAAACUGGGAUUCAGUGUUUGGCGGGAGUUUCAGGACGACAUGAGCCAGGGUAUCCGCAAUGUCAAGGAGUCUAACGUUUACCAGAAUGUAGAAGGCACUCUUAGCCAGAUCGGACGGGCUGUGACAGAAGCACCUCUUUACCAUAAUGUAGAGGAGAAAUUUGAACAGGUCAGCAAGGCGGUGGUCGAGACUCCAAUAUAUCAAAAGACUGAAUCUGUGAUAAAAACAACGGCUGAGAAGACAACCUCUAUCCUGGGUGGCCUUGGGUCUGGACUGACGUCAAAAAUUGGUGCGUUGAAGAAUUCAGAAUCUUUCCGCUCGUUUGAAGAUAAAAUCGGCUCAGCUUACGAAAAUGUCAAGUUUGACGACUUUGUGUGACCAAAGCAGCCGAAAUUCGUAGUUUAUCAGAAGUGAUUUUCCGAACGAAGACUAAAGUAACGACAUCUCGCUCGAACUCCAUGGUCAAUUUCGAAGAGGCACUGCGUGAAGCCGAAGCCAACCGCAAGUCCCCUGCCACCACCCCCACCAUCAACGAGGAACGCCCCUCCUAGACCCCUUCCUCCCUCCCUGAGCUGUGCACCCAUCAACUCAUACUAGCUCACCCGCUUCCACAAAACUGUUGAGUCCUCCAAAUAAAAUUUUCUUCUUGUCUGUACAUACUGACCAGUACGACUGGCGCUAACAGAGAUAAAACUAUUUAUUAAUAUUUAAUAGAGCAAGCUAAAGUGAAUUAAAAUUUAUAGUUAUCCAUUGUAAUGUUGAAAUUGUAAUCAACAAAUUAUACUUUGACGAAAGCUUUUUAGUACUCUUCCAAGUUGGCAAAAUGUAAACAAUUAGGUAAUGUUUUUCCAAGGGAAGUUUGUGUAAUAUACCAUAUAAUUAAUUACAUUUAAUUAAACAUUUUUAUAUUUUGUCUUAUUCUUGUUUAUAUUGACUUAUUUUAGGUUUAGUUCUACUUAAAAGUUGUAAUAAAAAUUUUAUAAUUACAAACUAGUUAAACUUUUUCAGUGCACAAAUUGAUAUUAAAUUGUUGUUCUGGCCUAACUUAAUAAAAGAAAUUACAUAUUGAUGAUGUUUUAUAUCUUUAUAUCUGAUUGUGCUAUUAUUUGAACUAAAACUUGCAUAUUAAUAAUAUUAAAUAAGUGAUGAAAUUAGCUUUAUACAAGUUACAUUACAUUUAAUUUUGCUGUGAGAUGGCAAAUUUAUUAAAUUAAGUUGUGUAAAUAUAAUUUUAUGAGGAGAGUAUUAUUUUAUAUAUCGGAAGGGAAAUGCACAGCACGGCUCAUUGUUGUUGGAUUGUAUUUAACUGUAUAUUGAGUAAAAAUGCUUGUCCCUGCCUAACAGAGACAUGUCAAUUGCAAUAUUAUAAUCAUUUUGUCGUGUUUGUCCUUUAGCAUUCCAAUAUGCUUGUCAUUAUAUAAUAUUUAUUUUUUGUAGUUGUGUCUAAAAUUUUUGAAACUAUGUUUACUUGCUCUGUGUUUUGUGUGACAAACACCUAUAUACACGAUUUUACACAGUUGGUUUUCUUUCAAUGUUAUGUAUUCUAUAGUUUUUUGUAAGUCUGAUUUUGUUAUUCAUUUUCCCAUAGGCUUGUUAAAAAUCUCCAUUAUUGAUUUAUCUGUAAUUAGCUUUGUGAGGGGUUCCUCUUUCAUGUGCCUGCUUUUAAUUUUCUAGCUUUAAUUUUGUCGCUGUAGGGAAGACAUCUUCCACCACCGUCUACUUGUAAGAUAUUACAAAGAACUAUAUCUAAAAUAAGUACUUAUUUUAUUUAAAAUGUAGAUUGCAACGAUAUUAGAAAGGAGGAAAGGGCUAUGUUUGUUUUUUAUUAAUCUUAUAAUUUUAUUCAAAUAGAAUGUGAUAUAAAGUAGCUAAA